UACGGAGGAUGCAAGCGUUGUCCGGAUUUAUUGGGUUUAAAGGGUGCGUAGGCGGCCCCGUAAGUCAGUGCUGAAAUAUCCCGGCUUAACCGGGAGGGUGGCAUUGAUACUGCGGGGCUUGAGUAGAGUUGAGGUUGGCGGAAUUGACGGUGUAGCGGUGAAAUGCUUAGAUAUCGUCAAGAACACCGAUAGUGUAGACAGCUAACUAAGCUCAAACUGACGCUGAGGCACGAAAGUGUGGGGAUCAAACAGG
rnacentral:rRNA from 1 species